rnacentral:rRNA from 1 species
GAUCAUGGCUCAGGACGAACGCUGGCGGCGUGCCUAACACAUGCAAGUCGAACGAGGGUUUGGAAAGCUUGCUUUCCGAAACCUAGUGGCGGACGGGUGAGUAACGCGUGAGUAACCUGCCUUUCAGAGGGGAAUAACGUUCUGAAAAGAACGCUAAUACCGCAUAACGUACAGUUACCGCAUGGUAGCAGUACCAAAGGAGCAACUCCGCUAGAAAGAUGGACUCGCGUCCGAUUAGCUAGUUGGGUGGGGUAAAGGCCU